GCGGAAGGAUCAUUACUGAUUUGCUUAAUUGCACCACAUGUGUUUUUUAUUGAACAAAUUUCUUUGGUGGCGGGAGCAAUCCUACCGCCAGAGGUUAUAACUAAACCAAACUUUUUAUUUACAGUCAAACUUGAUUUAUUAUUACAAUAGUCAAAACUUUCAACAACGGAUCUCUUGGUUCUCGCAUCGAUGAAGAACGCAGCGAAAUGCGAUACGUAAUAUGAAUUGCAGAUAUUCGUGAAUCAUCGAAUCUUUGAACGCACAUUGCGCCCUUUGGUAUUCCAAAGGGCAUGCCUGUUUGAGCGUCAUUUCUCCCUCAAACCCCCGGGUUUGGUGUUGAGCAAUACGCUAGGUUUGUUUGAAAGAAUUUAACGUGGAAACUUAUUUUAAGCGACUUAGGUUUAUCCAAAAACGCUUAUUUUGCUAGUGGCCACCACAAUUUAUUUCAUAACUUUGACCUCAAAUCAGGUAGGACUACCCGCUGAACUUAAGCAUA
rnacentral:rRNA from 1 species